CCGGCUCCGGUUCACCUCGCUGUUCGCGGGGACCCGGCGCU
rfam:Saccharomonospora sp. LRS4.154 Saccharomonospora_sp154_contig5, whole genome shotgun sequence.